UGUUACGACUUCACCCCAGUCAUGAAUCACACCGUGGUAAACGCCCUCCCGAAAGUUAAGCUAUCUACUUCUGGUGCAACCCACUCCCAUGGUGUGACGGGCGGUGUGUACAAGGCCCGGGAACGUAUUCACCGCAACAUUCUGAUUUGCGAUUACUAGCGAUUCCGACUUCACGGAGUCGAGUUGCAGACUCCGAUCCGGACUACGACGCGCUUUUUGGGAUUCGCUCACUAUCGCUAGCUUGCAGCCCUCUGUACGCGCCAUUGUAGCACGUGUGUAGCCCUGGCCGUAAGGGCCAUGAUGACUUGACGUCAUCCCCACCUUCCUCCGGUUUAUCACCGGCAG
rnacentral:rRNA from 1 species